AGAACCUAAUCUUAGGAUUGGGAAUGUGUCCCUUGUCUACGAUUGUGCCUUGACUGAAAAGCUCAUAGCUUGUAUGUUAGUAUCCACAAGCUUUUUAAAUCAUUUAGAAAGUUCCUUAAAAUGGACUAAGAUUGAACACGAAUGAAGCCAAAUCUCUUUCCCCUUUUAUCGAAUUUGUUAAGAAUAAAGAUAUUAAGGACUUUACCAAAUUUGGAUAAAACAUUCCAAAGAUGUGUCCUAAUGUGGAGGAAGAUUUUCACGGUAUAGAUAGGAGGGUUUUGAUAUGUGGAUCUAUUUUGGGAAGCCUGAUGGGAAUUGAAGGGAAGGUUUUGAUUGCUGCUAGGGUGAAGGGUGUCAAGGGGUAGGAAGUUUGGGG
rnacentral:misc_RNA from 1 species